AGUUUGAUCAUGGCUUAGAUUGAACGCUGGCGGCAGGCUUAACACAUACAAGUCGAACGGUAGCAGGAGGAAGCUUGCUUUCUCGCUGACGAGCGGCGGUACGGGUGAGUAAUCGCUUGGGAAUCUGGCUUAUGGAGGGGGAUAACUACGGGAAACUGUAGCUAAUACCGCGUAGUGUCGAGAGACGAAAGUGCGGGACCGCAAGGCCGCAUGCCAUGAGAUGAGCCCAAGUGGGAUUAGGUAGUUGGUGGGGUAAAGGCCUACCAAGCCUGCGAUCUCUAGCUGGUCUGAGAGGAUGGCCAGCCACACUGGAACUGAGACACGGUCCAGACUCCUACGGGAGGCAGCAGUGGGGAAUAUUGCGCAAUGGGGAGAACCCUGACGCAGCCAUGCCGCGUGAAUGAAGAAGGCCUUCGGGUUGUAAAGUUCUUUCGGUAUUGAGGAAGGAGUGUAUGUUAAUAGCAUACAUUAUUGACGUUAAAUACAGAAGAAGCACCGGCUAACUCCGUGCCAGCAGCCGCGGUAAUACGGAGGGUGCGAGCGUUAAUCGGAAUAACUGGGCGUAAAGGGCACGCAGGCGGUUAUUUAAGUGAGGUGUGAAAGCCCCGGGCUUAACCUGGGAAUUGCAUUUCAGACUGGGUAACUAGAGUACUUUAGGGAGGGGUAGAAUUCCACGUGUAGCGGUGAAAUGCGUAGAGAUGUGGAGGAAUACCAAAGGGAAAGGCAGCCCCUUUGGGAUGUACUGACGCUCAUGUGCGAAAAGCGUGGGGAGCAAAACAGGAUUAGAUACCCUGGUAGUCCACGCUGUAAACGCUGUCGAUUUGGGGAUUGGGCUUAAAAGCUUGGUGCCCGUAGCUAACGUGAUAAAUCGACCGCCUGGGGAGUACGGCCGCAAGGUUAAAAACUCAAAAUUAAUUGACGGGGGCCCGCACAAGCGGUGGAGCAUGUGGUUUAAUUCGAUGCAAACGCGAAGAACCUUACCUACUCUUGACAUCCAGAGAACUUUCCAGAGAUGGAUUGGUGCCUUCGGGAACUCUGAGACAGGUGCUGCAUGGCUGUCGUCAGCUCGUGUUGUGAAAUGUUGGGUUAAGUCCCGCAACGAGCGCAACCCUUAUCCUUUGUUGCCAGCGAUUUGGUCGGGAAACUCAAAGGAGACUGCCAGUGAUAAACUGGAGGAAGGUGGGGAUGACGUCAAGUCAUCAUGGCCCUUACGAGUAGGGCUACACACGUGCUACGAAUGGCGUAUACAGAGGGUGGCGAAAACUGCGAGGUGGAGCGAAUCUCAGAAAAGUACGUCUAAGUCCGGAUUGGAGUUCUGCGAACUCGAACUCCGUGAAAGUCGAAAUCGCUAGGAAUCGCGAAAUCAGAAAUGUCGCGGUAAAUACGUUCCCGGGCCUUGUCACACCGCCCGUC
rnacentral:rRNA from 1 species